rnacentral:rRNA from 1 species
CUCCCACCCGUGUUUACUGUACCUUAGUUGCUUCGGCGGGCCCGCCAUUCAUGGCCGCCGGGGGCUCUCAGCCCCGGGCCCGCGCCCGCCGGAGACACCACGAACUCUGUCUGAUCUAGUGAAGUCUGAGUUGAUUGUAUCGCAAUCAGUUAAAACUUUCAACAAUGGAUCUCUUGGUUCCGGCAUCGAUGAAGAACGCAGCGAAAUGCGAUAACUAGUGUGAAUUGCAGAAUUCCGUGAAUCAUCGAGUCUUUGAACGCACAUUGCGCCCCCUGGUAUUCCGGGGGGCAUGCCUGUCCGAGCGUCAUUGCUGCCCAUCAAGCACGGCUUGUGUGUUGGGUCGUCGUCCCCUCUCCGGGGGGGACGGGCCCCAAAGGCAGCGGCGGCACCGCGUCCGAUCCUCGAGCGUAUGGGGCUUUGUCACCCGCUCUGUAGGCCCGGCCGGCGCUUGCCGAACGCAAAUCAAUCUUUUUCCAGGUUGACCUCGGAUCAGGUAGGGAUACCCGCUGAACUUAAGCAUAUCA